rnacentral:misc_RNA from 1 species
AACCUUAUGGACCUGCGGGCGUAUACCUGCGGAAGGAUCAUUACCGAGUGAGGGCCCUCCGGGUCCAACCUCCCACCCGUGUUUAACGAACCUUGUUGCUUCGGCGGGCCCGCCUCACGGCCGCCGGGGGGCACCCCGCCCCCGGGCCCGCGCCCGCCGAAGACACCUGUGAACGCUGUCUGAAGUUGCAGUCUGAGACACUAGCUCAAUCAGUUAAAACUUUUAGCAAUGGAUCUCAGA